UUGAGGACUCCAUCCCUUUGUCCAUUCAAGUAUGACACACUCAUCAGAUGAUGAGACUCUUGUGAUUUCUGGUAGCCUUCAAUCUCAGCAUCAUAAACCCCCCAUAAUUCUUCACCUUUUCCUUUCAGGACAGCAGCAACAACCUUCUCAUGCUUCUUGCUGCUCUGUAUCUGUUCCUGAUCUGAACUUCCCUGGCGGCUAGAGCUUGAAGCUUCUUCACGCGCAAUUCUCUCCUCUUUUAACCUCUUGGUAGUCCUUAAUAACCAUGCCAAAGAGGAGUCAUCUGAAACGAUCCAAAAAAAAAAACAAAAAAAACAAAAAAACGAAUAAAUAUAUAUAUAUAUAUAUAUACAUAAAACAUAUACUAACCUACCAAAAGAAAGAAAAAAAAUCCACGCCCCUGUUUCCUAAUUCCUAAAUUUAAAUUAAAAAAACUACCCACCCCCACUACGUGAUCACAUCUCUCUCGCCCUCGGUUUUCUUCCUCAAACAGCGCCUCACCAAUUCUUCUCCUCUUCUACAUGAUUCUUUAUUCUUCUGCUCUUCUUCCUUAGAACUACAUCAAAUUCCACCUUAAACUACACAUGAUUGGAAGAUUGAUAGAAGAAUUGUGAUUCAAAUGAAAGAGCUUUGGGUAUAAUAUUUAGAAGCUAGGGUUUGUGCUUUGAGUAAGGAGAAGAGUACCACCCCUUCAGAAUUGCUCUUUGGAUGCUAUUGAGAUUCGUCGGCGAGUGGAUCGUUCGGUGGUCGUAGGAUUGCUGAAAGCAAUUGUGGUUAUUUUUCAUAGUUAUUCACAGGCAACUAAGUAGUAAGCUGGUGUCAGAUUCAGAUCGUUCAUUUCACCUUAUUGGCAGGCCUCCUUUGGGUGGUGGCUCGAUUGGUGUCUUGUAUUUGAUUAUAGUUAUCUGCAGCUAUAGGGAGUCUUAUGAGGAUUUAGACUUGGAAUUGUUAUUUAUUGCAUUACUGUAAAAGUUGCACUUGAGUGCUAAAAUUGAAAAUUUAUUUUUAAUGGAAGUAUGAAAAUGAAGAUCAUUAUUUGA